CUUUAACCUAAAGAACCAAUUUUAUCUCCUUAACUUGAAUAUUAAUGGGAAUUUUGAAAAAAAUUACCUGUCUAAAGUAUCAACUAGAGCCAAAAUACAACAAAAAAAUUCUCGUCAUGUUUUUAUUAUAGUAAGAUUUCCAGGAGAAAAGUUAUUAUAGAUUAAAACUAAUAGACUCCUCUCUCUACUCUGAAUCUAAUAAUAAUAUGUUGUGAUUUUUUUUGCAAUAAUUUAAUAAGAUUUAAUUAUAAAUUAUAAAACAUUUUGUUGUUUGAUUGUCUGUAUAUCAGGGUAUCACAAUAAUAUUGAUAAAACCGUGCAAUUGAAAAUAAUUAAAUAUUGGAGAAAUAGUCAGCGCUAUCUAUUAUUCUAUAAAAAUGUUUUCUAUAGUAGGUAUAUUUUUAAAAACCAUUUUAUAUAGAUAAUUUAUUGUAUAAUUUUCAAUUAUUACUACAGCCUGUAUUUGGUAAUUAAAAUACAUUAAAACUACAAAAAUCAUAGUAUUAUUUAUUAAAAUUAAGACUAAAAACUGUUAUCAAUUUUAACGGUUUCAGUUUUUGAAAUUCUUUAGUUUUGAUUUUGGGUUU